CAAAAAAUAUUUGACUAAUAGGCUAAACAAAUAACUAUCAUUUUGUUUUGCAGACAGGCAUAUCAUGUGCACACCACUCUGAUAUGCAGUUAAACUGAGCACAUUCACUAUGCUUAGAACAUAAUCAUUUAUUAUCUGUGAGCUGUAAUCAGCUGCAGUUACAGUCUUAUAGGAGAAAAUGGUUUCUCUUGCUAACCUCACUGAACUGAGGGUGUUUAUGUGGUGUUAAUUCCUGUCCUGUCAUUAUUAAACUGGACGUAUGUCAUUGCAACAAAGUAAUAUACACUACAUGAUCACAUUUCAUUCUAAUGUUAUAUUGUAAAGAUUUUGUAUAUUUCUGAAGUAUGAAUUUAUAUACAUUGACCAUUCUAUUAUACAGAGUAUGCAAUUAUGCUAUUUGUCCAAGACUGUGUUAACAUCUGAUACUUUUCUUGAAGGAAAACCAGUGAAGCCAGACACUACAUUUAGAAAGAAUUGACUGUUAAAUGCUGUCAGAACUGCUUUAGAGUUGAGCGAGAGAGACCACAGAUCAGUGUGUGUGUGUUAACAUGGUGUUAAUUCCUGUCCUGUCUUUAAUAAUCUGCAGACGUGGUCCACAAAAGCCAGCGGAGUCUGGAGUUCUUUGUGGUGAGGGACGAAGUGCACUAUAUACUGAGUUGAAACAGUUGACACUUUGAGGAAUCGUUCUUGUGUAUCUUGUAGGCCUGAGCCAAGACACUCAAUAUAGGGGAAAAAACAUCUUCAGACUCAAGUUUUGUGUUUUCUGUGUGAAGAUGGCUCUAAACUGUCUUCUCAUAUAUCAACUGCUGUCCAAAUCUAAUCUUAAGAUAGCUGGACCACUCAUAGCUUUGUUAGUGGCUUGUCAAAUAUUAUUGGAUAUAAAGUUCUCAUGUCCAUGCUCUGUUGGGUGGAAUCAAGUUAUAUCAUUAUCCAUCUUUAUUGUGCCUGCUCUCAUUGCCUGUGUUAUAAUGCUCCUAUUCGUAAAGCUUAAUGCUCAGAACAACAGUGGAACAGCUCAGGCACAGAAUAGCAGUGGCCCAUCUGAGAAUGAACAGAAAUGUGUUUGGAUCAUUUGUGUGAUUCCAAUGAUUAUCUGGUGGUGUAUAUGUUUGAUUGAUGGUGAUUAUGCUGCAUGUUUUGUAACAGACUGGGAUGGAAAGUAUGCCUGUGAUAAGGAAUUGCAUCCACAUUGUUUGAACUGGUGCAAACCUACGGAAUCAAACCAGAAUCAAACUGAAAAAUACAACUACACACGAAAGAAUAUUAAUAUAUCAAAGAUUCUAGGUUACAUUCUGGCUGGUAUACUCUGUGUUGUGGGAAUUAUUGUUAUGUGUGGAUGGUGCAGAUGUAGCAGAUGUAGUAAUUCGGCCCAACCUACAGGCAUCAUAAGACUUUCUGCAAGUGGAGGAAAUCAAGAUGCUGAAGAUCCAACAUCAAGUGGGAGAAUUCAAGAUUCAGAAACAAUAGAACUGCAGCAAGUGGUAGGAACAUCAGAAAUAACUAUCAAACCAGACUCUGAACACCCCAAAGAGAACACCCAACUUCUAAACGAUGAAAAUGAGAGGAUGGAAGAAUAGACAUUUAAAUAUGGUCCCACUUAGGUGGCCUUAACCACUAUGCACUUGCCUCCAAAAUAUAUACAGUGUACUUACUGUGUCCAAAAUAUAUUGCACAACACUUCUGAUGCUCAUGAGGUGGGAUUUGGAUGGGGUUAGGGACAGAUCAUGUGGUAUGGAUAGGUUUAAGGGUGGGGUAAGGGAUGGUCAACAGUGUAGUUACAAAUAUAAUUACAGAAAUUAAUUACAGAUGUAAUUACAUGCUGGUAUUUAAUCAACCAUAAGUACAACGUAAAACAACAUAUAUUUAAACCAUAAGUACAAUGUAACAAAUGAUUAAUUUCAGUUUGAGUACAUAUUAGUUAAGGCCACAGAAUAUAAAAUUAGAACUGAAAUUUUAACUUGCAUUUUUACUUUAUACAAGAAACAUAAAAAAGGAUCAUUUUUGACCAGUCAAAGGGUCAGUUCACCCAAAAAUGAAAAGAACUGCAUGAUUUACUCACUCCUUCAUGUAUAUGACUUUGUUCUUUCAGUCAAGUCCAGUCUAAGUUAUUUUUUUCAGUAGGGUGAAUAAAGGCCAGCCUGUAAAUUGCUUGCUAUGCAAAAUUAUGUCCAAAAUCUCUGUGAACUUGCUUAGCUAUCAUUAGCAUUUUAUUGAGUAAAGAAACUGUUAAUUGUGGAUAAUUUGUCAUUGAAAUAAAAUUGCAUGUAUAACCAGAA